UGUUGUUUUAUUUCCCAAAUUAUUUUUGAUCCAUCUGUUACAAUGCUUGUGUCAUGAUGACUAUCAGGUAAUUACAGGUAAUGUAUUUCUGUUUACCCUUUACUUUUCUUCAAUGUAAUGAUUAAAUGAACAUGUUGUUGUUUGUCUAAUUUCAAUAUUUAUUCAUUUUGGCAGAUUUUAUGCUAAUCUCUCAUUUCUCUUUUUUACUGUGCUUUGUGUAAGGGCAUUCAAUUGGUGUAGUUUUGAUGGCUAUGUUCAAACUUAGGAAGGUUCUCAACCGCAAGAGUGUGUUCAAACCAACCUCACUGGCUAAAGCUUCUACCCAAGCAAGUUCAGCUCAACUGAAGGCUAAGAGAUAAGUAGUCACACACUAGUUUUACUAGUUUAUCAGAUGAUAGGGAGGGAUAAUCCUCACAUUAUAUAGUUGUUGGAAACUGUCGUAUUAGUCAAUGAAUGUCAUGAAUCUAUAUUAUAAUGUAACAAUAUGAUUUAGUUCAAUUUCCUAAUCUCUGUUUAUGUCAUUAAUAAAAAGCAAUUAACUAUACUUGUUUCCGUUUUCCAUGAGUAACUACAAAUAGAAUAAGGCUCGCCACAUGUCAUCUACUUGUUUGCAUUUUCAUUUUAUGUGACCUUUGCUAGCAAUUUUGCAGGGAUAGGUUGUUUUCGAUUUACCCUUAGUUUUCUUCAUUGCAAUGAUUAAAUGUACUUGUUCUAUCUAUACUUUUCUUGUUCAGUUCAUUGUUCUGACUUUAAGGUUAUCUGUGAUCGGCUCCGUGAUAUUUACAAAUUGAUGCAGGGACACUUUUGAGUUGGGUGGCUAGUCAUGCUCAACAAGCUGCUAAAGUGUUCAAGGACCCAAAAUUCCCCCGGUCUACCGUAUUAGAAGCACAAUUUGGUCUUCAACUCCAACUGUGAGUGGAUGAGUGUCAUUGACAUGGGGGCCUGCUGGAACAUUGGAAAUGGGCAGAGGGUGAAAAUUUUGGGUGAGAGUUGGUUCCCUGCCCCCGGGUCAAGCUGAGUUUGAAGUGGGAGUCAUGCCUCGAAUUUAAUUUAUAGUUCCCCUAGUGAAUCCGCUUAUUAAUGCUGAAGUAGGCUGGUUUGACAAAUCUGACAACACUGUCGGUUUGUUAACUUCGCGCAUCAUCAGCGAUACUGCCAUGGUCAAGAUCAUAAUUGCUGACCGCAUUACCGUGAUUGUGCAGUGUGUUUCCUCCAUACUUAUAGCAACAGUUCUGUGUAGCACUUCCUCUACCUGCUUACCAACAUCUUUGAUUAUCUCAAAAUCAUGCUCCUGUUGUAGAUUUGGUCUUGCCAUGGUUUCUUGCAAAGUGGAGCUUCUGCGCAGAUACGAAAGAUCAAGACACCAAUAUAUUAGCAACUAAAAUUGAGAUUGUUGGUUGGGUUUAUUUGACAGUAAUGUAUAAAGUAGCAAACUAUUGCUCUUGUAAUUUAUACUUGUAUAAUGUAAACUUACAAAUUUGAUGAAAUACUAGAAAAAGUAAUUCACAAAAUCAGUGAAUUUUGGUUGAUCAA